GACGAACGCUGGCGGCGUGCUUAACACAUGCAAGUCGAACGGAAAGGCCUCUUUCGGGGGGUACUCGAGUGGCGAACGGGUGAGUAACACGUGAGUAACCUGCCCUUGACUUUGGGAUAACUUCAGGAAACUGGGGCUAAUACCGGAUAGGAGCUCCUGCCGCAUGGUGGGGGUUGGAAAGUUUCGGCGGUUGGGGAUGGACUCGCGGCUUAUCAGCUUGUUGGUGGGGUAGUGGCUUACCAAGGCUUUGACGGGUAGCCGGCCUGAGAGGGUGACCGGCCACAUUGGGACUGAGAUACGGCCCAGACUCCUACGGGAGGCAGCAGUGGGGAAUAUUGCACAAUGGGUGGAAGCCUGAUGCAGCAACGCCGGGUGCGGGAGGACGGCCUUCGGGUUGUAAACCGCUUUCGCUCAUGACGAAGCUUUGUGUGACGGUAGUGGGUAAAGAAGCACCGGCUAACUACGUG
rnacentral:rRNA from 1 species